AUUGAACGCUGGCGGCAUGCCUUACACAUGCAAGUCGAACGGCAGCACGGGAGCAAUCCUAGUGGCGAGUGGCGAACGGGUGAGUAAAGCAUCGGAACGUGCCCAGUCGUGGGGGAUAACGUAGCGAAAGCUACGCUAAUACCGCAUACGAUCUGUGGAUGAAAGCGGGGGACCGUAAGGCCUCGCGCGAUUGGAGCGGCCGAUGUCAGAUUAGGUAGUUGGUGAGGUAAAGGCUCACCAAGCCGACGAUCUGUAGCUGGUCUGAGAGGACGACCAGCCACACUGGGACUGAGACACGGCCCAGACUCCUACGGGAGGCAGCAGUGGGGAAUUUUGGACAAUGGGCGCAAGCCUGAUCCAGCAAUGCCGCGCGCAGGAUGAAGGCCUUCGGGUUGUAAACUGCUUUUGUACGGAGCGAAACGGCUUCCACUAAUACUGGGGGCUAAUGACGGUACCGUAAGAAUAAGCACCGGCUAACUACGUGCCAGCCGCCGCUGUAAAAC
rnacentral:rRNA from 1 species